AUUGAACGCUGGCGGCAUGCCUUACACACGCAAGUCGAACGGCAGCACGGGAGCAAUCCUGGUGGCGAGUGGCGAACGGGUGAGUAAAGUAUCGGAACGUGCCCAGUCGCGGGGGAUAACGCAGCGAAAGUUACGCUAAUACCGCAUACGAUCUAUGGAUGAAAGCGGGGGAUCGCAAGACCUCGCGCGAUUGGAGCGGCCGAUAUCAGAGUUAGGUAGUUGGUGGGGUAAAGGCCCACCAAGCCGACGAUCUGUAGCUGGUCUGAGAGGACGACCAGCCACACUGGGACUGGGACACGGCCCAGACUCCUACGGGAGGCAGGAGUGGGGAAUUUUGGACAAGGGGCGAAAGCCGGAUCCAGCCAUGCCGCGUGCAGGAUGAAGGCCUUCGGGUUGUAAACUGCUUUUGUACGGAACGAAAAGGACUGCCCUAAUACGGUGGUCCCAUGACGGUACCGUAAGAAUAAGCACCGGCUAACUACGUGCCAGCAGCCGCCGUAA
rnacentral:rRNA from 1 species